UGGGGAAUAUUGGACAAUGGGCGAAAGCCUGAUCCAGCCAUGCCGCGUGUGUGAAGAAGGCCUUUUGGUUGUAAAGCACUUUAAGUGGGGAGGAAAAGCUUAUGGUUAAUACCCAGAAGCCCUGACGUUACCCACAGAAUAAGCACCGGCUAACUCUGUGCCAGCAGCCGCGGUAAUACAGAGGGUGCAAGCGUUAAUCGGAAUUACUGGGCGUAAAGCGCGCGUAGGUGGUUAUUUAAGUCAGAUGUGAAAGCCCCGGGCUUAACCUGGGAACUGCAUCUGAUACUGGAUAACUAGAGUAGGUGAGAGGGGAGUAGAAUUCCAGGUGUAGCGGUGAAAUGCGUAGAGAUCUGGAGGAAUACCGAUGGCGAAGGCAGCUCCCUGGCAUCAUACUGACACUGAGGUGCGAAAGCGUGGGUAGCAAACAGGAUUAGAUACCCUGGUAGUCCACGCCGUAAACGAUGUCUACCAGUCGUUGGGUCUUUUAAAGACUUAGUGACGCAGUUAACGCAAUAAGUAGACCGCCUGGGGAGUACGGCCGCAAGGUUA
rnacentral:rRNA from 1 species